rnacentral:lncRNA from 1 species
CUGUGUGCCUCCUUUUCUAACAGGAUGCCUUCUAAAGAAAACACAAUCAGGAAACAUAGUGAAGUCUUACACACAGUUAAGCCUGUUUGCAUGUAGUUUUAAUGCAUUAAAUUAUUAAUUAUACAUGCUAAAUGAGGAUCUUCCAACUCUGUUCUAUUUCAGUGUCUCAACUUGACUGCUAACGUAGCUCAUACAUUUUAGACUUCCUUGUGCAAAACUACUGGAUAGAAAGAGUCACAGCAGUUUUCCAGAAUGGCCUGUUCAUGUGAAGAAAAUCAAUGAAGUUUAUUCCCUGUGACAAAGAGUGUUGUUUGGAUGAAGUCAGCCCUUUUGACCUAGCAGCAUGGAGCUUUUCUGAUUCAGGUGGGAAAACAGACCAGACUCCUAUGGUUAAAAUUGCUAUGCAGGGAUGUCAAAUCUGACCUGUUCUCAAGACCACCAUGUGUGUCUUGGGUUAGCUACUGCAGCUGCCACUGAAUUAGAUAUUCCAUUGGCAUUUCUUUGGUUGAACUCUCUUCAAGUGGAGUCCUUAUAGGAUCACUUUCCUUACACCUCUUUCUGGAUUUACCACAAAGUGUGUGAUGUUCCACUUAAAACACC